UACUAGAGUAGCACUCGCAUAUCAAUAAGCGGAGGAAAAGAAACUAACAAGGAUUCCCCUAGUAACGGCGAGUGAAGCGGGAAGAGCUCAAAUUUGAAAUCUUAAAGGGUUUCCCUUUACGAAUUGUAGUUUAAAGAAGUGUUUUCUGUUGAGGUUUUGGUAAAAGUUCUUUGGAAUAGGACAUCAUAGAGGGUGAGAAUCCCGUAUUUGACCUUUACUUUCAACUUUGUGAUACACUUUCAAAGAGUCGGAUUGUUUGGGAAUGCAGUCCAAAAUGGGUGGUAAAUUUCAUCUAAAGCUAAAUAUUGGCGAGAGACCGAUAGCGAACAAGUACCGUGAGGGAAAGAUGAAAAGAACUUUGAAAAGAGAGUUAAACAGUACGUGAAAUUGUCAAAAGGGAAGCGUUUGACACCAGUGUUGUUUUUCUGAAAAUCAAUUAAAGAACUGUUUAUGCUAAGCUGUUUAGACUUUAUCAGCUAUCUGUUUAGUUUUGAGCUUUUCUUUAAUGCACUUUUCAGUUAACAAGUCAACAUCAAUUUCUUUUGCUGUAAAAAAGCUUGAGGAAGGUGGCUUGAGAUUCGUCUUAAGUGUUUAUAGCCUCUUGCCUAUGCAGUCGGAGAGAUUGAGGUCUGCAGCGUAGAUCCUUCGGGGCUAAAUGCAUUUGUGCUAAGUUACAGCAUUUUAUAGACAACUUGUUGACUAUGAUUUGUCUUGUAGCUUACUCGCUUAUGUUAUUUUACCUACGCUUAGGAUGUUGAGCGCAUGUCUCUCUCU
rnacentral:rRNA from 1 species